rnacentral:rRNA from 1 species
GUCUAUGGCCAUACCACCCUAAAGUCGCCGGGUCUCGGCUGAUCUCGGAAGCUAA